CCUACGGGGGACAGCAGUGAGGAAUAUUGGUCAAUGGGCGGAAGCCUGAACCAGCCAAGUAGCGUGCGGGAUGAAGGCCCUACGGGUCGUAAACCGCUUUUGCACGGGGAUAACACCCUCCACUUGUGGAGGUCUGCAGGUACCGUGCGAAUAAGGGCCGGCUAAUUCCGUGCCAGCAGCCGCGGUAAUACGGAGGGUGCAAGCGUUGUCCGGAAUCAUUGGGCGUAAAGAGUUCGUAGGCGGUAUGUUAAGUCUGGUGUUAAAUGCAGAAGCUCAACUUCUGUUCGGCACUGGAUACUGGCAAACUAGAAUGCGGUAGAGGUAAAGGGAAUUCCUGGUGUAGCGGUGAAAUGCUUAGAUAUCAGGAGGAACAUCGGUGGCGUAAGCGCUUUACUGGGCCGUAAUUGACGCUGAGGAACGAAAGCCAGGGUAGCAAAUGGGAUUAGAUACCCGUGUAGUC
rnacentral:rRNA from 1 species